UUAUAAUAGACUAUCUGGAAAAAUACCUGCAUGGAUCGGGGAAAGCCAGCUAGAAUUGGUCUUUUUAAGUUUACAAUCUAAUGAGUUCCAUGGAAAUAUACCAUUUCAGCUGUGUCGAUUACAAAAUAUUCGGCUGUUGGACCUCUCCAUAAACAAUAUUUCAGGAACCAUACCCCAUUGCCUGGAGAAUUUCACCCAUAUGUCAAGAAAACAGUUAGACGACAACAAUAACAUAUAUGGUUACAAUUUUUCUGCAUCUUGGGGAGAAGGUGGCGGUUUUCAAGCCAAGUAUGCUGAUAGGGCCCUGAUUGGA
rnacentral:misc_RNA from 1 species